rnacentral:Y_RNA from 1 species
GUCUGGUCCAAAGGUAGUGAGUUACCUCUAUUGAUCGUUCAUAGUUAGUUACAGCUCGAACGCUUUGUUCUACUCUUUCCCCCUUCUCGCAACUGCACUUGACUAGUCUAAA